rnacentral:lncRNA from 1 species
AUCAAGGCCCAGGCCUAGUCUGGUAGCCCGCAUUGCACUCGGUGGCUGCGCCCAAAGUGGGAGAGGGUGUCAAAAUUUGUGGUUUUUAAUGACUUUUUGACUUAAAAAAAAAAAAUCAAAAAUAUCAUUUUGUUUGAAAAGCAUUUUGAAAAUGCUUGUACUGCAAUAUUAAACACAUCAUCAGUCCAAUGCUUAUUUUUACGUGUUAUCUUUUGAGUUGAAUAAUAAAGAAGCUUGAACAAAUCAACUUGGACAGUGCAUCUUCUUUUUUGCUGUUGGUAUGUGUUUU